rnacentral:rRNA from 1 species
UUGCCAGCCGCCGCGGUUAUACGAUGAGGCUCAAGCUGACAGACAACGGCGUAAAGAGUGGUUAGGGGUUACAAAAAAUAAAGCCGAACGCUCUCUAAGCUGUUAUACGCGCAUGCGAGAGUAUGAAGCCCAACUACGAAAGUGGCUUUACUACACCUGAACCCACGAAAGCUAAGAAACAAACUGGGAUUAGAUACCCCACUAUGCUUAGCCUUAAACAUUGAUUGUACCCUACACCUACAAUCCGCCCGGGAAUUACAAACAUUAGUUCAAAACCCAAAGGACUUGGCGG